UACCUGGUUGAUCCUGCCAGUAGCAUAUGCUUGUCUCAAAGAUUAAGCCAUGCAAGUCUAAGUACGCACGGUCGGUACAGUGAAACUGCGAAUGGCUCAUUAAAUCAGUUAUGGUUCCUUUGAUCGCUCUACCGUUACUUGGAUAACUGUGGCAAUUCUAGAGCUAAUACAUGCCAACGAGCGCUGACCUCCGGGGAUGCGUGCAUUUAUCAGACCCAAAACCCAUGCGGGGCCCGCCUGCGCCCCGCCCCCGGGCGGGGGACGGCUCACCGGCCGCUUUGGUGACUCUAGAUAACCUAGAGCCGAUCGCUGGCCCUCAGUG
rnacentral:ncRNA from 1 species